rnacentral:rRNA from 1 species
UACGAAGGGUGCAAGCGUUACUCGGAAUUACUGGGCGUAAAGCGUGCGUAGGUGGUGAGUUAAGUCUGUCGUGAAAGCCCCGGGCUCAACCUGGGAAUGGCGAUGGAUACUGGCUCGCUAGAGUGCGGUAGAGGAGAGUGGAAUUCCCGGUGUAGAGGUGAAAUUCGUAGAUAUCGGGGAGGAACACCGGUGGCGAAGGCGGCGAUCUGGGUCGAUACUGACGCUGAGGUGCGAAAGCGUGGGGAGCAAACAGGG